CAAUUUUGAGUUAAUCCCCAAUUAUUAUAACUCUACAUUUAGGCCAGCCUGACUUUCACCAUCAGCUAAAACUCUUCUUCUCUCCAUCUCUCCAAUCAGACUCCUUCCAAGGACGAGUUCAUCGUUAUCGAUGUGCAGCCAGUAAAAAACAAUGUCCCAGAGAGGAAACUCCCCGUGGGGACAACCAGGGGGAGAAAAGAGCUGCGUCCCUGGCGUCCCUCUGACAGGAACCCCACGGACACCAUCCGCUACAACUACCUGGACAACUACGACCCCAUCGAGCAGGCCAGGCAGGCGAGGAGGAAGGGAGGAGGGCACACCCCGGACCUGAGCAGGCAGGCGGCUGAGAGGAAGAAGAGAGGGGGUUGUGGAUCCACGCAGUGCUGGUUGCUCAGAAAGGCAGGAGUUUGUACCCUAAAAACCAUGCCCAGGAGCUCAGUGAAACCUCCCUGGAAGUGUGAAGGAUAUGGGACAGAGAUCCCCCAGUAAAUUCCCUGGGAGAUUCUGGGUUUAGACAGGACACUGAGCAGGGAAAUUAAGAAUAGCAACGAUCAGAUGUGCAGCCAAGGGAGUGGUGAGGUGAUAGAGAAGAGAUACAGACAGGCUUGAAUGACAAAUUGCCUGGGAAGGGGUUAUCAAAAUCCCUCAACAGAAUUAUAGCUGUGACUAUCAGCAUUGUCAUUUAUCACAGCGACGAUUUCUGGUAGGUCUGGUUUGUUUUCUGCAUGAAUUGUCCA
rnacentral:lncRNA from 12 species